CCUACGGGUGGCAGCAGUGAGGAAUAUUGGUCAAUGGACGAGAGUCUGAACCAGCCAAGUAGCGUGAAGGAUGACUGCCCUAUGGGUUGUAAACUUCUUUUAUAUGGGAAUAAAAUGUUCCACGUGUGGGAUUUUGUAUGUACCAUAUGAAUAAGGAUCGGCUAACUCCGUGCCAGCAGCCGCGGUAAUACGGAGGAUCCGAUCGUUAUCCGGAUUUAUUGGGUUUAAAGGGAGCGUAGGUGGAUUGGUAAGUCAGUUGUGAAAGUUUGCGGCUCAACCGUAAAAUUGCAGUUGAAACUGGCAGUCUUGAGUACAGUAGAGGUGGGCGGAAUUCGUGGUGUAGCGGUGAAAUGCUUAGAUAUCACGAAGAACUCCGAGUGCGAAGGCAGUUCACUGGACUGCAACUGACACUGAGGCUCGAAAGUGUGGGUAUCAAACAGGAUUAGAUACCCGGGUAGUC
rnacentral:rRNA from 1 species